AGGUCAUUUCAAAGAGAGCUUAUGGAACGCAAACCAGGAGAUCUUAACGCAGUGACUAGGAUUGAGUUCUCCAUAGGAUGUAAUAGGCACUCAUAGUGCUGUGCCUUCCUGAGGAGAUGUAAGA
rnacentral:snoRNA from 1 species